AAGGGAGAUUGGUUUGUGUGCGUGACGGUCUGGGCUGUGUCCACAACUCUCUGCGAUUUCUUGCGGGUCUUGGACGGAGCUGUUCCCAAACCGUGCUGGGAUGCAUCCCGAUAAACUGAUUUCCACGGCGCAUUUGUAGAAUGUGGAGAGAGUCGAGGGG